rnacentral:rRNA from 1 species
AGUGAACGCUGGCGGUAGGCCUAACACAUGCAAGUCGAACGGCAGCACAGUAAGAGCUUGCUCUUACGGGUGGCGAGUGGCGGACGGGUGAGGAAUACAUCGGAAUCUACUUUUUCGUGGGGGAUAACGUAGGGAAACUUACGCUAAUACCGCAUACGACCUACGGGUGAAAGCAGGGGAUCUUCGGACCUUGCGCGAUUGAAUGAGCCGAUGUCGGAUUAGCUAGUUGGCGGGGUAAAGGCCCACCAAGGCGACGAUCCGUAGCUGGUCUGAGAGGAUGCGCAGCCACACUGGAACUGAGACACGGUCCAGACUCCUACGGGAGGCAGCAGUGGGGAAUAUUGGACAAUGGGCGCAAGCCUGAUCCAGCCAUACCGCGUGGGUGAAGAAGGCCUUCGGGUUGUAAAGCCCUUUUGUUGGGAAAGAAAAGCAGCAGGUUAAUACCCCGCUGUUCUGACGGUACCCAAAGAAUAAGCACCGGCUAACUUCGUG